rnacentral:rRNA from 1 species
UACAUGUGGGGCAAGCGUUGUUCGGAAUUACUGGGCAUAAAGGGUGCGUAGGCGGUUUGUUAAGUCACUGGUGAAAGUUUUCGGCCCAACCGGAAAAUUGCCUGUGAUACUGGCGAACUUGAGUGCGUGAGGGGUGGGGGGAACGAGCAGUGUAGCGGUGAAAUGCGUAGAUAUUGGGAAGAACACCAGUGGCGAAAGCGGACUUCUGGGUUGUUACUGACGCUGAGGUACGAAAGCGUGGGGAGCAAACAGG